rnacentral:rRNA from 1 species
UAGGGCGGGACACGUGGUAUCCUGUCUGAAUAUGGGGGGACCAUCCUCCAAGGCUAAAUACUCCUGACUGACCGAUAGUGAACCAGUACCGUGAGGGAAAGGCGAAAAGAACCCCGGCGAGGGGAGUGAAAAAGAACCUGAAACCGUGUACGUACAAGCAGUGGGAGCACCCUUUGGGGUGUGACUGCGUACCUUUUGUAUAAUGGGUCAGCGACUUAUAUUCUGUAGCAAGGUUAACCGAAUAGGGGAGCCGGAGGGAAACCGAGUCUUAAUUGGGCGUUAAGUUGCAGGGUAUAGACCCGAAACCCGGUGAUCUAGCCAUGGGCAGGUUGAAGGUUGGGUAACACUAACUGGAGGACCGAACCGACUAAUGUUGAAAAAUUAGCGGAUGACCUGUGGCUGGGGGUGAAAGGCCAAUCAAACCGGGAGAUAGCUGGUUCUCCCCGAAAGCUAUUUAGGUAGCGCCUCGUGAAUUCAUCUCCGGGGGUAGAGCACUGUUUCGGCUAGGGGGCCAUCCCGGCUUACCAACCCGAUGCAAACUGCGAAUACCGGAGAAUGUUAUCACGGGAGACACACGGCGGGUGCUAACGUCCGUCGUGAAGAGGGAAACAACCCAGACCGCCAGCUAAGGUCCCAAAGUCAUGGUUAAGUGGGAAACGAUGUGGGAAGGCCCAGACAGCCAGGAUGUUGGCUUAGAAGCAGCCAUCAUUUAAAGAAAGCGUAAUAGCUCACUGGUCGAGUCGGCCUGCGCGGAAGAUGUAACGGGGCUAAACCAUGCACCGAAGCUGCGGCAGCGACACUCAGGUGUUGUUGGGUAGGGGAGCGUUCUGUAAGCCUGCGAAGGUGGCCUGUGAGGGUUGCUGGAGGUAUCAGAAGUGCGAAUGCUGACAUAAGUAACGAUAAAGCGGGUGAAAAGCCCGCUCGCCGGAAGACCAAGGGUUCCUGUCCAACGUUAAUCGGGGCAGGGUGAGUCGACCCCUAAGGCGAGGCCGAAAGGCGUAGUCGAUGGGAAACGGGUUAAUAUUCCCGUACUUGGUGUUACUGCGAAGGGGGGACGGAGAAGGCUAUGUUGGCCGGGCGACGGUUGUCCCGGUUUAAGCGUGUAGGUGUGUGUUCCAGGUAAAUCCGGUUCACUUUAACACUGAGGCGUGACGACGAGGCACUACGGUGCUGAAGCAACAAAUGCCCUGCUUCCAGGAAAAGCCUCUAAGCAUCAGGUAACAUCAAAUCGUACCCCAAACCGACACAGGUGGUCAGGUAGAGAAUACCAAGGCGCUUGAGAGAACUCGGGUGAAGGAACUAGGCAAAAUGGUGCCGUAACUUCGGGAGAAGGCACGCUGACACGUAGGUGAAGUGAUUUACUCAUGGAGCUGAAGUCAGUCGAAGAUACCAGCUGGCUGCAACUGUUUAUUAAAAACACAGCACUGUGCAAACACGAAAGUGGACGUAUACGGUGUGACGCCUGCCCGGUGCCGGAAGGUUAAUUGAUGGGGU